ACGGGUGAGUAAUGUCUGGGGAUCUGCCCGAUAGAGGGGGAUAACCACUGGAAACGGUGGCUAAUACCGCAUAACGUCGCAAGACCAAAGAGGGGGACCUUCGGGCCUCUCACUAUCGGAUGAACCCAGAUGGGAUUAGCUAGUAGGCGGGGUAAUGGCCCACCUAGGCGACGAUCCCUAGCUGGUCUGAGAGGAUGACCAGCCACACUGGAACUGAGACACGGUCCAGACUCCUACGGGAGGCAGCAGUGGGGAAUAUUGCACAAUGGGCGCAAGCCUGAUGCAGCCAUGCCGCGUGUAUGAAGAAGGCCUUCGGGUUGUAAAGUACUUUCAGCGGGGAGGAAGGCGGUGUGGUUAAUAACCGCGUCGAUUGACGUUACCCGCAGAAGAAGCACCGGCUAACUCCGUGCCAGCAGCCGCGGUAAUACGGAGGGUGCAAGCGUUAAUCGGAAUUACUGGGCGUAAAGCGCACGCAGGCGGUCUGUUAAGUCAGAUGUGAAAUCCCCGGGCUUAACCUGGGAACUGCAUUUGAAACUGGCAGGCUUGAGUCUCGUAGAGGGGGGUAGAACUCCAGGUGUA
rnacentral:rRNA from 1 species